rnacentral:rRNA from 1 species
GGAGUUUUCGGCAAUGGGGGAAACCCUGACCGAGCAACGCCGCGUGAGUGAUGACGGCCCUAUGGGUUGUAAAACUCUGUUGUAAGGGACGAAAGGCUAGCUUAGGAAAUGAAGUUAGUUUGACGGUACCUUACCAGAAAGCCACGGCUCACUACGUGCCAGCAGCCGCGGUAAUACGUAGGUGGCAAGCGUUAUCCGGAAUUAUUGGGCGUAAAGAGGGAGCAGGCGACAUGAUAAGUUUGAAGUGAAAGCGUGAGGCUCAACCUCAUACAGCUUCGAAAACUGUCAAGUUAGAGUACGAGAGAAGUGAACGGAACUCCAUGUGUAGCGGUGAAAUGCGUAGAUAUAUGGAAGAACACCAGUGGCGAAGGCGGUUCACUAGCUCGAAACUGACGCUCAGUCCCGAAAGCGUGGGUAGCAAAUA